GUGCUCCGGGUGCUUACCACAGGCUGUGUUCUCACUCUCACUGUACAGAAAGGAGGCAGAGUAAACCCACCCUAUGUACACCUCAGCCCGGGCCCUGUGCCUGCUCUGUAUUGUGAAUGUGGGGACGUGG